rnacentral:rRNA from 1 species
UACGUAGGGUGCGAGCGUUAAUCGGAAUUACUGGGCGUAAAGCGUGCGCAGGCGGUUCGCUGUGUCCGAUGUGAAAGCCCCGGGCUCAACCUGGGAAUGGCAUUGGAAACUGGCGGACUCGAGUGUGGCAGAGGGGGGUGGAAUUCCGCGUGUAGCAGUGAAAUGCGUAGAGAUGCGGAGGAACACCGAUGGCGAAGGCAGCCCCCUGGGCUAACACUGACGCUCAGGCACGAAAGCGUGGGGAGCAAACAGG